AUUGAACGCUGGCGGCAUGCUUUACACAUGCAAGUCGGACGGCAGCACAGAGGAGCUUGCUUCUUGGGUGGCGAGUGGCGAACGGGUGAGUAACGCAUCGGAACGUACCGAGUAAUGGGGGAUAACUGUCCGAAAGGACAGCUAAUACCGCAUACGCCCUGAGGGGGAAAGCGGGGGAUCUUAGGACCUCGCGUUAUUCGAGCGGCCGAUGUCUGAUUAGCUGGUUGGCGGGGUAAAGGCCCACCAAGGCGACGAUCAGUAGCGGGUCUGAGAGGAUGAUCCGCCACACUGGGACUGAGACACGGCCCAGACUCCUACGGGAGGCAGCAGUGGGGAAUUUUGGACAAUGGGCGCAAGCCUGAUCCAGCCAUGCCGCGUGUCUGAAGAAGGCCUUCGGGUUGUAAAGGACUUUUGUCAGGGAAGAAAAGGAACGUGUUAAUACCAUGUUCUGAUGACGGUACCUGAAGAAUAAGCACCGGCUAACUACGUGCCAGCAGCCGCGGUAAUACGUAGGGUGCGAGCGUUAAUCGGAAUUACUGGGCGUAAAGCGGGCGCAGACGGUUACUUAAGCGGGAUGUGAAAUCCCCGGGCUCAACCCGGGAACUGCGUUCCGAACUGGGUGGCUAGAGUGUGUCAGAGGGGGGUAGAAUUCCACGUGUAGCAGUGAAAUGCGUAGAGAUGUGGAGGAAUACCGAUGGCGGAGGCAGCCCCCUGGGAUAACACUGACGUUCAUGCCCGAAAGCGUGGGUAGCAAACAGG
rnacentral:rRNA from 1 species